UACGUAGGGGGCAAGCGUUGUCCGGAAUUAUUGGGCGUAAAGCGCGCGCAGGCGGUCAUUUAAGUCUGGUGUUUAAGCCCGGGGCUCAACCCCGGUUCGCAUCGGAAACUGGAUGACUUGAGUGUAGGAGAGGAAAGUGGAAUUCCACGUGUAGCGGUGAAAUGCGUAGAGAUGUGGAGGAACACCAGUGGCGAAGGCGGCUCACUGGACCACAACUGACGCUGAGGCGCGAAAGCUAGGGGAGCAAACAGG
rnacentral:rRNA from 1 species